AACGAACGCUGGCGGCAGGCUUAACACAUGCAAGUCGAACGCCCCGCAAGGGGAGUGGCAGACGGGUGAGUAACACGUGGGAACCUUCCUCGCUGUACGGAACAACUCAGGGAAACUUGAGCUAAUACCGUAUACGUCCGAGAGGAGAAAGAUUUAUCGCAUUGAGACGGGCCCGCGUCGGAUUAGCUAGUUGGUAAGGUAACGGCUUACCAAGGCAACAAUCCGUAGCUGAUCUGAGAGGAUGAUCAGCCACACUGGGACGGCGACACGGCCCAGACUCCUACGGGCGGCAGCAUUGGGGAAUCUUGGACAAGGGGCGCAAGCCUGAUCAAGCCAUGCCGCGUGAGUGAAGAAGGCCUUCGGGUUGUAAAGCUCUUUUGUCAGGGACGAUAAUGACGGUACCUGAAGAAUAAGCCCCGGCAAACUUCGUGCCAGCCGCCGCCGUAA
rnacentral:rRNA from 1 species